rnacentral:rRNA from 1 species
GAGCGAACGGACGAGAAGCUUGCUUCUCUGAUGUUAGCGGCGGACGGGUGAGUAACACGUGGAUAACCUACCUAUAAGACUGGGAUAACUUCGGGAAACCGGAGCUAAUACCGGAUAAUAUUUUGAACCGCAUGGUUCAAAAGUGAAAGACGGUCUUGCUGUCACUUAUAGAUGGAUCCGCGCUGCAUUAGCUAGUUGGUAAGGUAACGGCUUACCAAGGCAACGAUGCAUAGCCGACCUGAGAGGGUGAUCGGCCACACUGGAACUGAGACACGGUCCAGACUCCUACGGGAGGCAGCAGUAGGGAAUCUUCCGCAAUGGGCGAAAGCCUGACGGAGCAACGCCGCGUGAGUGAUGAAGGUCUUCGGAUCGUAAAACUCUGUUAUUAGGGAAGAACAUAUGUGUAAGUAACUGUGCACAUCUUGACGGUACCUAAUCAGAAAGCCACGGCUAACUACGUGC